CACUAAGAAGCUAAACUGGGACUAGCGUUAGCCUUUUAAGCUAAAGACUGGCGGCUCCCGCCCGCCCUUUGUGA
rnacentral:tRNA from 1 species